rnacentral:sRNA from 1 species
AGAAAUGUAGGCUACAUUUAGCAUAAUGUUUUACUCAAGCCUUGCUGUCUGCCAGCUUCCUGUACGUUGAUAUAUGUCAGUUUGUUCAGGCCCUAGCCAUAUCCCAAAUGUUUAGUUCUAUAUUCACCCCAUGACAUCAUCAACCCUCUCACCCUUUCCCUUUUGCUCCUGGCUUCUGAGCUGCCUCCUCUCCACAAGCCCCUGUCCUUGUCCACCAGUACCACUGAGCUCCUGUUGGAUAUCUACCCUGGCUGGCUGCUAACUGUCCUCUUCUCUCCACUGUACAGCUAGCUCAGUCCCAAAGUUUGAAGCAGAAUAGACAAGGGAUAUCUCCUCUGGUGCCAUCAACUUGGAAACAAGUCUUUCUCUAGAAUUAUCCAUGGCCUGAAGCUGAUAGGGAACGCAGAGAAAUAGUGUGCUCUGGGGGAUUCGACAGAGAGGCAACUCUGAGCAAGACAACUGGGAAAAGCUUUGCAGGUUGGAGAUGAAGUGCCUUUCUCAAGGCCACAGAACCCACAUGAAAAAAGAAUCAAUCGGACUUUUGGAACCUAAGGUAGCGCAAGGCAUUAGAGCCAGUGGAAAGGACGCUAUUCUGAACUGAGGGACUGUGCUUGGGCAUUGGGUCCGAAGUCACGGGACAUUCAAAGUAAGUCUCCUAACCCAGGUAUGUCUGGGUGUCAAUCAGCCAGCAAGGGAUAAGAGUAUCCAGGCUUUUUGCUGCCCAGUAUUUAGUGGAUGAUAAGGAAUAUAGCUGUAGAAAAUAUUUCAAAUGAAUAUCCUUUUUGUA